UACAGAGGUCUCAAGCGUUGUUCGGAUUCAUUGGGCGUAAAGGGUGCGUAGGCGGCCAACUAAGUCAGACGUGAAAUCCCUCAGCUUAACUGGGGAACUGCGUCUGAUACUGGAUGGCUUGGAUUCGGGAGAGGAAUGCGGAAUUCCAGGUGUAGCGGUGAAAUGCGUAGAUAUCUGGAGGAACACCGGUGGCGAAGGCGGCAUUCUGGACCGACAUUGACGCUGAGGAGCGAAAGCCAGGGGAGCAAACGGG
rnacentral:rRNA from 1 species